GGUGUUUCACUAAGAAAAGGUUUUUCAUCAAGGAAAGGCCACGGAGGGUCUUCACAGCGCCAGUUACAGCUUCUGCUGCAUCACCGUCCCAAGGCAUCAGCGUGGACUCAUCAAGCUGCUUCCUCGCGCCUGACCUAUAUUUCGGACAGCGGUCUCACAGAUUCGGUGCAAUGGUCAAGUACAGCCACACUUACGGACAUUGAUGCAAGACCAUUUCACACGUGGUUCAGAUCGUGGACAACACAAGACAUUCCAAAAGCGUUGCGAUGCUUCUAGAGUUCCCGAAUGGGGAACUUAUGGACCACAAACAGCAUGCAAAAAAAAAUCUAAAUAUGGCCACUUGACCUCAUACAUCCCUUUAUACAUUUUCUCCAAAAAUUCCAAAAAUGUAUGUAAAACCCCCUUAGACUCGUACUCUACAAUGUGACUAAUACUAUCCUCAUAUUUUUAAAUAGGAUCAAUAAA